GCAGGCAUGUGAGAGAACAGCAGAAGGAGAUCAGCUUGGAGUGUGGGUAUGCCUUUAAAUAAAUGCCCAUCAGAAGUCUGAAUGAAGUCCUGAGGGAAUCCAAGGUACCAACCCUCAGAUUGGUUCACCACAAACUCUGCCCAUGAAGCACAUGGGGUCGAAUCAGAGCUGCAGCUGCAGGCCAAUACCACAGCCACAGCAAUGCCAUAUUGAAGCCACAUCUGUGAUCUGCAUCACAUCUUGCAGAAUGCUGGAUCCUUAACCCACUGAGUGAGGACAGAGAUCGAACCUGCAUCCUCAUGGACACUAUGUCAGGUUCUUAACCUGCUAAGCCAUAAGGCGAACUCCAUACACUUUUAAUUUAAACAGCACUCUUGAAGACAUUCGUAUUCAUUAUAUACAAUCCUAUAGAAGAGUCAUGCAGAAAUUUUCAUCCACAAUUUCAGGAAGAAAAAAAUGGGGGGGCUGUUUUUUUCACACUUAAAACAAACAAACAAACAAACCCUCCCCUGUAUUGUGAAUGGUUCUGUGAGCAGAAGAGGAGAGAAUUUUUAGCCCAGUAUAUGAGAAAAUGCUAAAGGUCAUUCUUCAAGUACUAAUCAAGUUGUCUUUGAUCACCCUGGGAGUGCUCUGUUUUUAAUAUACCUGUAGCAUUUUUUAUUGAUUGCCUUCAUUCUCAAUGCAUUGAAUUUUAUUAUUUGCUUUUUUUAGGGAUAUGUGACUUAUUUAAAAUCCAAAUUGUUGGAGUGCCCAUAUAAUGAUUUUGACAGAGACUCUCAAAAAGUAUUUGUCAGCUCUUAUUAUUUCUUUAAUGUAGUCUCAUAAAUUUACCACUCAAAUAUUCUGUUCAAAUGGGGAAUUUCAUAUAUUAACUUUUUUUUUUUUGCCUUUUCAGGGCCACACCUGCGUCAUAUGGAAGUUUCCAGGCUAGGGGUGUAAUCAGAGAUACAGCUGCCAGUCUACACCACAGCCACAGCAACACAGGAUCAGAGCCAUGUCUGCAACCUACACCAUAGCUCCCAGCAAUGCCAAAUCCUUAACCCACUGAGUGAGGCCAGGGAUUGAACCUGCAUCCUCAUGGAUACUAGUUGGAUCAGUUACCACUGAGCCACAAAGGGAAUUCCAAUAUAUCAACAAUUUUUAAAGUUGCAACCAGAUGAGCAUGAAAUACCCUUAUAUUAACAGUGCAAUAGGGCUGUAAUCACUAGAUUAUACAGGAUCCUUAUACACAACCUGCUAAAAUUAUAGUAAUUUCUCCUGCAAAAUCCACUGAUAAUUAAAUUAAUUCCAAGAAUAACAAUGACUAAAGGUCAUUUUUCCUGGAUAACAGAGAAUCUAUAAGAGUCUAUAAGAGUCUUUAUUGUAGCAUUCUUUUGGAACAGUAAAACAAAAAAAUGCAUAAAAUAUAUGAAUAAAAAAAAGGCUUGCAAUCAAAAGAAAACCACACAAACAUAUAUACACAUGCAUUAAAAUAGGGGAUAGAUACAUAACUUAAGUCUAAACAUAAAUAAUGAAACGCCAGGCAAGCAAUUGAAAUAUGCAUAGCUUGAUCCCAUUUCAAUUUUAAAAGCUGCAGUAUACACAUUAGACAAAUAAACUUUGGAAAUGUAUACACAGAACACUUAUUGAUCUUUUUUUCUGGAGUCAGGGUUACAGGAUGCUGUCAUUUUUGAAAUUAUGGUCUUCAAUAUGGAUUUUGUUUUAGUAGAUGUCUUAGUUUGACAGGGCUGCCAUAACAAAGUACCACAUAUUGGCUGGUUUAACAAUAGAACUUUAUUUCUUACAAUUAUGAAGCCUACAAGUCUAAGAUCAAGGUGUCUGCAGGGUCGGUUUCAUCCUAGGCCUCUUUCCUAGGUUUGUAGAUAGCUGUCUUUUCCAUUUGUCCCGACAAGACUUUCCCUCUGUGUGUGUCUGUUUCCUAAUUUCCUCUCUUUAUGAGGACACCAGUCAUAUCAGAUGAAAGCAUAUAGUAAUAACCUCACUUUAACUUAGUUACCCUUUACAGAUCCUUCUCCAAAUACACUCACAUUUUGAGCUUCUGAGGGUUAGGACUUAAACAUAUGAAUUUUGGAGCAACAAUUUUCAGUCCAUAACAGUACAUAAUACUCUAGUGAUUAAAUAAAAAUGUGUCAUUAUGAUAUGGUAUGCAUUGUUUCCUCUCAUUUAAAGAACCCCAUUUUCCUUAGAGAUGUCCCAGUAUUGAACUAUAAAACUGAGUUUCCUAAAUUUCUUAGCACAUUUCUGGACAAUGGAUUUUAAGUGAAAUUGUUGAGAAGGACUACUGUGACAGCUGGUUAUUGUCUGAGUAUGAUGGUGUGCUUCCUUUGGCAUUUCCUCUUCUCCUCCCUCUGAGUUGUGGAUGUGACAGGUGGAUUUCUAGCAUCUAUCCUAAAGAAUAAAGGGUUGCAAGAUAGAAGUAGGACACUUUGUUAUACUGUGGAGCCAGUUGGCUUGUAGAUUUAUUUUAUGUGUGGAGAAAAAAAAAUCUUAUACAUAAGCCAUUAUUAUUUGGGUUUUCUGUUAGAUGCACUGAAACACAUUCUUUAAUAAGGAGAAUUUAAGGAAGAACACCUUAAAAAUGAUCAGUUGUUUUCUGAUAUCUGAGAUAGCCCCCUUGAUGAUAUUACAAUCAAGAUUAAUAGUAGAAAUUAAGAUAUGAUUAACAUCUUCUGGCCUUUGAGAAUUUUCACAUGACAUAUGGCUAUGCAUUUGUCUAAGAAUUUCAUGGACUUAUUUUCGUAAUUCUUGGAAUUAGAAUUACAUCAUACAUUAACAUUAAUUAAUGGAGAGAAGGUUUUCCAAAAGAACUGAGGCUAUCUCCAUAUCUUCAUGUCAUAAGCAGAGAUGACACACCUACAUUUUACAAUUAUUAUUAUGUGCAUCAUUUUAGUGUAGUGAACUCACCCAUAUUUAGUCCUUAUGUCACAUAGAAAAUAAAAAAAUGAUAUUAAAGGAUUGUGCAAUAGAACCUCUAGUCAGUAAUUUUUGACAAAAGUCGAAUAAAAUCUUUUAAAAUCUUAUGUACUUAUUUUUUAACAGGACAAAAUCAAAUUAAAUUUUGCAUGUAUUGAGACUCCAUAAUAAUAUAAGGCCCUAGGUCUUUUUUUUUUUUCUUACCCCUUAGUUUUUUGUUUUGUUUUGUUUUGUUUUUGUUUUUUGUCUUUUUAGGGCUUCACCCAUGGCAUAUGGAGGUUCCUAGGUUAGGGGUCUAAUAGGAGGUGUAGCCACUGGCCUAAGCCACAGCCACAGUAAGACGGGAUCUGAGCCAUGUCUGUGACCUACACCACAGCUCAUGGCAAUGCCGGAUCCUUAACCCACUGAGCAACGCCAGGGAUCAAACCUGCAACCUCAUGGUUCCUAGUCAGAUUCGUUUCCACUGCGUCUGCAGUUUAUCACGGGCCAUGGCAACACCAGAUCCUUAACCCAAUGAGUGAGGCCAAGGAUCAAACCCACAACCUCGUGGUUUCUAGUUGGAUUCGUUUCCUCUGUGCCAUGAUGGGAACUCCCCCCCCCCAGUUUUUUUUUUUUAAUAUGACCUUUUACCAUGAUUUUUUUUGGUCUUUGUUUUGGGAGUAUAGGCAGUGAUGCACACAUACCACCAUUCUUUAAUUAGUUCUGAUAUUUAUAACAUGUAGAAAAAGUCAAUUUAAUGGCAAUUAUAAAAUAUAAAAAGAUAUAGUUACUGAGUACCCACCAUGUGCAAGACUCUUAACAGAAACUUGGAAUUUGAUUUUAAAUUUUUAAUGUAUGUUGUACUACAUAUUCAUAGUGUAUGUGGUAAUAUGUCUAGUUUUUCAUGCUUCAUGCUAAAAUGCUUCUUCAACGUCUACCAGCUAAUAAGUAGAUGACCCAGAUUUGCCUUUACAGGGGAAUUCAAGCCUUCUUUAUUUGUUGCUGAAUUGUUUCCUUUUCUUCAAAGGAAUGAGUCAGAAAUCAGGGAAAAAUGCUGUAUUACUAAGGAGGAGCUAUUGUAAAAUCUGAAGACAAUUCAUCUACGUAACUAAAGGUGAGAGUUUUAAAAGAAUUUAAAAAAUCA
rnacentral:lncRNA from 1 species